CAGCAGCCGCGGGAAUACAGAGGGUGCGAGCGUUAAUCGGAUUUACUGGGCGUAAAGCGUGCGUAGGCGGCUUCUUAAGUCGGAUGUGAAAUCCCUGAGCUUAACUUAGGAAUUGCAUUCGAUACUGGGAAGCUAGAGUAUGGGAGAGGUUGGUAGAAUUCCAGGUGUAGCGGUGUAAUGCGUAGAGAUCUGGAGGAAUACCGAUGGCGAAGGCAGCCAUCUGGCCUAAUACUGACGCUGAGGUACGAAAGCAUGGGGAGCAAACAGGAUUAGAUACCCGCGUAGUCCCUGUCUCUUAUAA
rnacentral:rRNA from 1 species